rnacentral:rRNA from 1 species
UCCCACGUUCGGAUCGCAGGCUGCAACCCGCCUGCGUGAAGUUGGAAUCGCUAGUAAUCGCGGAUCAGCAUGCCGCGGUGAAUACGUUCCCGGGCCUUGUACACACCGCCCGUCAAGCCAUGGGAGCCGGGGGUACCUGAAGUGCGUAACCGCGAGGAUCGCCCUAGGGUAAAACUGGUGACUGGGGCUAAGUCGUAACAAGGUAAC